rnacentral:lncRNA from 1 species
GAUUCCAGAAAAUUCCUUUGUCUAUUCAAAACUGGAGGAGCGAGGACAAGAGAGCUGAACUUGAGGCAGGCCAGGCUCGGAGCAUAUGGGUCAGUCAUCCAUCACCUGCCACCUCCCUAGAGACCUUGGCAGGCCAGGUAGGUCUCUUCUGGUAAGGAGGGCCAGGGGGGUCCUGAGACACCAGAGCCUUGAUUCUCUAAAGCAGUGGAGUAGGGCUUCAAGUCUUUAACCUAUGGGGUGGGAAGCUGGGGUGUUCCCAUAGGGAGGAGGGACAGUCCCAGGGUUCAAGGUUCUCUUUCUGGAACGGCCUUCUGAGAGUCCCCAUUAUACUGCUUGAGAGCACACAGCUCAGGGUUGAUUCCUUCCCAACUUGGUGUUUGACUGGCCAGCAGGGAGGGUGGGCUGACCAAAUUCAGAUUCCCUGAUCAAACUGAACUAAAAGUAUUCCAAACAAUGUCAAGAAGGUCAAAGGGAUGAGACAGGAUCCAUCAGAGGCCCCGAGGAGCUGGGAGUUAGGAGAAGACGUGUCAGUGUCGCAGGGCAGGACUCCGAGGGCCCUGUCUAGGUGGAGCAGGCAUAUAUUGGUUUGUCCGUGUGUGUGCUCCACUCUGGCAGGCCUCAGGAGGUGGCAUUGCCUUUACUCCUUCUUUCAUGAUGGUGUACACAACUGGCCAUUCUCUCUCAGAGCAGGAAACUCACGAAUCAAAGCCCAGGUUUGAGCCAGACUGGUGGGGUAGCCUGUAAGACUCCACCUUCAGGAGGCUGUGUUGAAUUCUCAUUUCACAGGCAGCUGGGGCUACCAUAGUGAAACCCAGUCUCAAAGCCAAACUGAACCCUGGUUUCAGGGCAGUCAGCGUCAACUCUCUCUGCAGAUUUGAGGGACGAGAGGAAAGGAGGGGAGACAAAAGGCUCAGUGAGAUCUGUGCGGAGCGGAACAAGGGAAUCAGCUGGGCGGAAUCACGGAGACCUGAGUGACAUUCAUCUCUGACACAUGUUGCAUGACUUGGGACAAUAAAAAGAACCUCUCUGGGA